CCUACGGGUGGCAGCAGUGAGGAAUAUUGGUCAAUGGUCGGGAGACUGAACCAGCCAAGCCGCGUGAGGGAUGAAGGUACAGAGUAUCGUAAACCUCUUUUGUCAGGGAACAAAGGCGGGGACGUGUCCCCGGAUGAGUGUACCUGAAGAAAAAGCAUCGGCUAACUCGGUGCCAGCAGCCGCGGUAAUACGGAGGCUGCGAGCGUUAUCCGGAUGUAUGGGGUUUAAAGGGUGCGAAGGCGGUCUGUUAGGCAAGCGGUAAAAGCCCGGGGCUCAACCCCGGCCCGCCGUUGAAACUGGCAGUCUCGAGUUGGAGAGAAGUAUGCGGAAUGCGCGGUGUAGCGGUGAAAUGCAUAGAUAUCGCGCAGAACUCCGAUUGCGAAGGCAGCAUGCCGGCUCCACACUGACGCUGAGGCACGAAAGCGUGGGUAUCGAACAGGAUUAGAUACCCGUGUAGUC
rnacentral:rRNA from 1 species